ensembl:lncRNA
AUGGUACACUACAGUAGUGGCAUCCCUUCCAGCCCCACACCCGACCAUAUGUUAUGUCCAUGGGGUUUUAAUGGCAUAUAUUGCUCCGCAGGUGCAGGUGGAUAUCCCUAUGGAGGAGGCUAUGGAACUCCAUACGGAGCAGGAGCUGGACAACUUCCUGGAGCCAAGCCCCUGAAACCUCCAGUUGUGGGAGGAGCAGGCGGUGUGGCUGGAGGAGCAGGUAUUCCUCUUACUGGAGCCGGUGGUGGUGUAGGGGGAUACCCGUAUGGUUAUGGUCAAGGUGGUUAUGGACAGGGACAGGGUGCGAGGUAUCCUGCUGGUGUUGGUCUGGGAACAGGGGCAGGAGCAGGUCAAAAAGCACCCAAACCCCCAGGUUAUGGUAACCUGGGUGCUGGUGGUGCUGGUUAUAAUCCAGGUGCUGGUGCGGUCCCAAAUUACGGAGGUGGCUACCCACAACAACGGGGCUACCCACAGCAAGGUGGCGGCUACCCACAGCAAGCCUACCCGGGGGUAUAUGGAGCAGGCCAGACGGCACCACUGACUCCUCAACAAGCCAAAGCAGCCAAGUAUGGCCCACUCCAGAGCUUCCUUGGUGGAGCAGGAGGAGGAGGCUACAGACCAGGAGGAGUUGCUGCUGGAUGCCAAAGCAAAUACUGUGGAAGGCGGAAGUAG